UACUUAAAUUUACACAAUUCUAUACUUCGAGAAUAUUUUUUUUUCUACUGAUUUUUAACUAAAAGUCGUGUUUCAAAAAAAGACUACUAAAUAAUUAUGACUAAAUAUUUUUUUACGGACAGGACUAUUUCUUCCAAAAUUCUGUGCAUCUCGAGGAAGGAGGACACGACGUGGAAUGAGCGAGCUAAUCAGAAGCUCAGGAGGUGUUGCAGCAGGGCCAGUGAGUGCUGGUAAGUUGAUGGUGGCGGAGGGGCCCGAAGCGGAGGAGUUUAUGGAUGAGGAGGCAGAAGCACCGGCCGCAGACAACAUGUUGAUGGAGGAAGAAGCAGAAGCUCCAGCAUUCUUCUGAUACAUUAAGGAAUGAAAAUAGAGAAGGUGUUGUAAUAAGGAAUGUUUUGGGAUUCCAGUUUGGCCCGACUUGUUUUGGUUGUGCGCUGUAGUAAUAUCUGCGUUUACAUAUAUAUAAUUAAGUAUCUUUAAUCUUUAAUAAGAAAAGAAAUGUUAGAUGUUUGAUUGUAUAUCAGCUUAAUUAAACAAAUCAAUUUAAUUAAUGUGAAUUAUAUAUAUGUGUUGGCGUUGCUACCCAUCUUAUUAUAUUUGUUCGUUAAGGUCUGUCUCUCUUUUCUAGAAUCAACGCAACAGCAGUACUGUACUGCAGUACGAAGUUACUUAACGUCAUCGCUAUUAAUUAAUUACGCAAACUCGAUCAAGUCCAAAGUUUAUUUCUCACAUAAUUUUCGUCUUUAAUAAAUUUGAGUAUUUCAAUCUAAAGCUGGGGGUAGCCUGGUACGGUGGUUCUGGGCAGCGGGUGAAAUUAAAAGGGUUAAUAGAUUCAAACUCGACACAUGUACAAAAAAUAUAAAAAAAAAAGUUAUAAAUCAUAACUUAUUUUUUGUUUACAAAUUAUAAUUUCCUUAUUUUGAAACAUUAAAUAACUUAUAAAUCAAUAAGUCAUUUCUAUCAUUCACAAACUUAUAGCUUUAUCUUUCCUUUUCACUUUGCAUCUCCGUUUCUCCCUUCAUCUUCAUUAUUAAUUAUAGUUGUAUUUCCUUUUCUUAAUCAUUUUAAUUUUAGUUAUCAAGUCCAUAUAUACUCAUAAUUCUUAAAAUGAUGAUAUAUGUUAUUAGCAUAAUUUUGUUUUUUAAAUCUUUUUAAUUGUCAAAGAAGUUAAAAUACAUAAUGUUCUAUCUGGUUAAACUUAUAAACUUAUUUAGCCAAUUAAGAAUUUAUUUUAAGGAAUAUAUAUAUAUAUAUAUAUAUUAUUGGAAUUAAGUAUUUAGAAGAUAUUAAAUAUUCUGAUUUGCACAAACUAUUAUUUAUUUUUAAAAAAAAUUAUAAAUAUUUACAUAUUAUUUUAAAAAAAACUCCAUGCUUAGUUGGUGAAAAAUAAGGCAAGGUAUAUAUGACCGAUAAUCCUCCAUCAGGCGUUCUCUAAAUUUAGGAUUGUUUAUGUGUGUGUAUAAUAAUAUUUUAGCUGUGUAAAUUAUGACAGGUAGUCUACUCCUAAAUAAAUUAGGCUUGUAUUAUAAUCAUAAAAAUAGAGAAAGGGAGGAUGAAGACGAGACAAAAACAACUAUAAUAACUUAAAAUUUAGAACAUUUUUUUGUUUUUAUGUUUUGGUGGCGAUCUAUGCAUGCGGACCACAAACGCUUGAUACUCAUAUUGAUUUUGUUGUUCAAUUUGGACCGGGGAUUCGAUCAGCCAAUUUUAUUUUGUUUUAAAGGAAAUCAAUAAUUGGUACAGACAAAACUCAAUUUCCCGUCGUCAUGUUUAGCAUUAAGAAAUCAGUAAAUCUUAUCAUCUCCAUAGCAUUUUUGGGCACGAAAAUCACAUGUAGUGCUGAUGUUUAGUCAUUUCUCGUUAAUUCGUCGAUGGUAAAAACCCAUUUUCUUUGCAUUAUUACCAAUAAUAGAAGCCAUUUUUCGAUAAUUCUGCUCCAGAGAGGUAAGCACAACGACUCACAUACAUUUAUACGUCACAAACAUGACAGGAACUUUUACAUAAACACACACAUAACAAACUAAUAAUUAGGAUUUCGAGUGCUAGUUACACUUAACAGCACGUACGACUGAUUUGCACCAUAAAUCAGUCACUGCGUUGCUUAUUGCGAACAUUGUUUAACUCAUCCUAGUAGCUUCCAUUCAAUAGAAGGGAUGAAAGAGAUGGAUGGAUCGAUCAGCACAAAGCCAAGUAGAUUGUCAACUUAAUCGCUGGCCUACAUUAAUUGAUAAUUACGUUGUUGCUUCUAUAAUUCUAAUUACACACACCAGACUGACGAAACUAACAUGUUGUACUUCAACUUCAUGUGUUACCUAUGUGUCGGUCCCAUGGACACACAUAAAAAUAAGCUUUGAAUACAUGUAGAUAUCGAGAUGAUGUGCGCUAAUAGUCUAAAUUGAAACACUCCACACAUAGCUAGUGCCAUUGUUCCUAACUCUACAGUAGCUUAACUUUGUGUAUAUAAGGAGCUUCUCUAGAGAUGAUAAUUCACAACCAUCUCAACUUACACAAAUACAAGCCAACCUAGCUAGCAGCUUGCGCGCUAUAUAUAUAUAUAUAUCUCCAAUGGCGGCUUCUUUUAAUUGUGCCUUGAGGAUUUUCGCAGUUUCUGCACUUGCAUUUGCUUUCUGCAUUCAAGGAACCUUCGGUACAAAAUUUAUUAAUUACUUAUACGAGCUAUUUUUUAAUUUUUUUUGACAAAAACAACUUAUAACCUUACAAAUGAGUAUCUGUUCUAAUAAGUUCUAUAUCGGGGUGAGCUAGCCCCAGGAUGACCGAUGAUAAGCUCUUAACCACUUGAGCUAUCCAACCGUGCUCACUUAUACGAGCUAAUUAAUUAUGCUAUACGAGCUAAUUAAUUAUGCUAUAUGUGUUAUUUUGUGAUGAUUAACUAUUUUUUCUUUUUUGUUGUUGUAGGGAGCAUAGCGUGUGAGGAUCUGAGCAAAGAGUCAUGUGCAUACGCGAUAUCUUCGAGCGGGAAGCGGUGUGUGCUGGAGCAGCGUGUGCGUAGAAGUGGGGAGGAAGCUUUUACUUGCGGUACGUCGGAGAUUGAGGCUGAUAAGCUCAAGGAUUGGAUUGAAAGCGACGAAUGUAUCCGUGCAUGCGGUUUGGAAAGAAGCGUUCUUGGAAUCUCGUCGGACUCUCUCCUCGAGCCACACUUCGCCAGGAAGCUCUGCUCUGCUCAGUGCUACAACAAUUGCCCUAACAUCAUCGACCUUUACUUCAAUCUUGCUGCUGGUGAAGGUACAAUUUUACUUUUAUAUAUACUUAUAUGUACACGAUACUUGCUGGUAGUGACGGGAUUAGGAUUCUGAAAAACAGAGACUAAAAAAAGUUAACGCUAAUAUAUUUUUACUACUGAUUUUUAACUAAGAGUUGAGCCUUCAGAAAAAAAUAAAUGAAUACCGAAUCUUCAACUCAAUACUACUGAACUAACAAAUUAGGAAAAGAGCAUUCUAUCUAAUACUGAUACAAUAACUAUAAUUAAACUUUAAUAUGUACAGGAUUAUUUCUACCAAAAUUCUGUGCAUCUCGAGGAAGGAGAACACGACGUGGAAUGAGCGAGCUGAUCAGAAGCUCCGGAAGUGUUGCAGCAGGGCCGGUGAGUGCUGGUAAGUUCAUGGUGGCGGAUGGACCCGAAGCUGUGGAGUUUAUGGAUGAGGAGGCAGAAGCACCGGCUGCAG
rnacentral:lncRNA from 1 species